rnacentral:rRNA from 1 species
AUUAAACGCUGGCGGCAUGCCUUACACAUGCAAGUCGAACGGCAGCACGGGGGCAACCCUGGUGGCGAGUGGCGAACGGGUGAGUAAAGCAUCGGAACGUGCCCUGGAGUGGGGGAUUAACGUAGCGAAAGAUACGCUAAUACCGCAUAUUCUGUGAGCAGGAAAGCAGGGGAUCGCAAGACCUUGCGCUCUGGGAGCGGCCGAUGUCGGAUUAGCUAGUUGGUGGGGUAAAGGCCUACCAAGGCGACGAUCCGUAGCGGGUCUGAGAGGAUGAUCCGCCACACUGGGACUGAGACACGGCCCAGACUCCUACGGGAGGCAGCAGUGGGGAAUUUUUGGGACAAUGGGCGAAAGCCUGAUCCAGCCAUGCCGCGUGAGUGAAGAAGGCCU